CCCACACAGACACAUACACAGAUCGACAUUCAUCAGCACAGCAAGAGAGAGAAAGGAGGAGGAGAAGCAAGUCGUCAGCCUUUCAUGGACGAUGUAUUGAGAGGUCAUCUAUUUUCGAAUCCUGUUCGUUCUCUUUCUAUUUCCUUUUUCAUUCUAUUA
rnacentral:ribozyme from 1 species